CCUACGGGUGGCUGCAGUGGGGAAUAUUGGACAAUGGGCGAAAGCCUGAUCCAGCCAUGCCGCGUGUGUGAAGAAGGCCUUCGGGUUGUAAAGCACUUUCAGUGGGGAAGAAAGCCUUGGGGCUAAUACCCUCGAGGAAGGACAUCACCCACAGAAGAAGCACCGGCUAACUCCGUGCCAGCAGCCGCGGUAAUACGGAGGGUGCGAGCGUUAAUCGGAAUUACUGGGCGUAAAGCGCGCGUAGGCGGUCUGAUAAGCCGGUUGUGAAAGCCCCGGGCUCAACCUGGGAACGGCAUCCGGAACUGUCAGGCUAGAGUGCAGGAGAGGAAAGUAGAAUUCCCAGUGUAGCGGUGAAAUGCGUAGAGAUCGGGAGGAAUACCAGUGGCGAAGGCGGCCUUCUGGACUGACACUGACGCUGAGGUGCGAAAGCGUGGGUAGCAAACAGGAUUAGAUACCCCGGUAGUC
rnacentral:rRNA from 1 species